AGCAGUAGCCGCGGGAAAACGUAGGUGGCAAGCGUUGUCCGGAAUUAUUGGGCGUAAAGGGCUCGCAGGCGGUUUUUUAAGUCUGAUGUGAAAGCCCCCGGCUCAACCGGGGAGGGUCAUUGGAAACUGGGAAACUUGAGUGCAGAAGAGGAGAGUGGAAUUCCACGUGUAGCGGUGAAAUGCGUAGAGAUGUGGAGGAACACCAGUGGCGAAGGCGACUCUCUGGUCUGUAACUGACGCUGAGGAGCGAAAGCGUGGGGAGCGAACAGGAUUAGAGACCCCAGUAGUCCCUGUCUCUUAUAC
rnacentral:rRNA from 1 species